rnacentral:lncRNA from 1 species
AAGAUUUUAUCUUUUAGGAGCUCCGUUUUACAACAAUGGCGGACGAGGUUGUUCUCUUGGAUUUCUGGCCAAGCCCUUUUGGAAUGAGAAUCAGAAUCGCUUUAGCCGAGAAGGGUAUUCACUACGAGUACAAGGAAGAGAAUCUGAGAAACAAGAGUCCCUUACUCCUGCAGAUGAACCCGGUACACAAGAAAAUCCCGGUUCUCAUCCACAAUGGUAAACCCAUCUGUGAGUCUUUGAUCCAGAUUCAGUACAUAGAUGAGGUAUGGAGCGACAAGGCUCCUCUGCUUCCCUCUGAUCCUUAUCAGAGAGCUCAAGCCAGGUUCUGGGCUGACUAUGUUGACAAGAAGGUAAAACCCCUAUGUUGUUUUCCUUUUACGUCGCUUAUGAUGGUUUGACUUGUAUGGUUUCUCAUAAGCUUUGACUUGCAUUUGCAGAUGUAUGAAGCUGGGAGGAGAGUUUGGACGACUAAAGGGGAAGAACAGGAGGGGGCCAAGAAAGAGUUCAUAGAAAUCUUGAAGACUUUGGAGGGAGAACUUGGGGAGAAGCCUUAUUUUGGUGGGGAAAGUUUUGGGUAUGUGGAUUUGACUUUUAUCCCAUUCUACACUUGGUUCAGUGUGUAUGAAAGUUUUGGGAAGAUGAGCAUAGAGGCAGAAUGCCCCAAGUUGUUUAGUUGGGUGAAAAGGUGUUUGGAGAAGGAGAGUGUUUCAAAAUCUCUGCCUGAUCAAGAUAAGGUAUACGGCUUCGUUUUGGAACUCAGGAAGGCUCUUGGGAUUUGAGUUUUUUGAGAGACUUCAAAAUCCUUGUUCCAUUUCCAUUAGGGUUCGUCCUCCAAGUAUUGAUUAAAAAAGGUUCUGGAUCAACUACUUUAUUUGUCUAGUCUUUUACUGUUGUAUUGGAAUAAAGGGGUGUCCUUUUGUGGAUUAGGUGAGAUUUCUAUCAAUAUUGUGGUGACGUCAAUUUCUUGUGUGUUGUAGGCAAAUCAUAUUUGAAUAAAAUCUUUCUUUCAUAUGUAUGUUAGAAAUGUAUAGAUAUAAUGGGUGUGUUUUUUUUUUUUAAAUAAGAAAUAUAUAAUUAUAUUAAAAAGGCACCAAGGAGUACCACUCAUUUAUAAAAUAUUUAUAAAUCUGUUAAUAAUAUUAAAAUAAUGUAAUCAUUUACCUAUAAUUUUUUUCACUCUCUUUUUUAUCUAUCUUUAUAUAUAUAUAUAUAUUUAUUUAUUUAUUUUUUUUUUUUUUGCACGUCUCCUCCCAUGUUCAUAUCUCAUUCCCCACGUAUUCCCUAAUCACUCAAUUCCUCUAAAAGACUAUAUACGGUAGUACAAAUAUCGUAUACUACCGGAUGCACCUUAGAAAAAUGUGAUACCUACCUCUUAUCCAAAAAGAAGAAAACAAGGUUGAACAUAAAGCUCCUGACUUGACCUUUUCUAAACCAUUAUUGAUUCUUCCAAUAUUUUCAGUCCGCAAAAUAAUCACCUGUUCUCAAACCCACAAGAAAUGGAAGAUGAGGUGCUUUUUAUCAUCACCACUUUGAAAAUUGCUUCCUUACUAUCAGAAUAGUUUUACUGGUUUUUAUCUGUUAAAUCUUUUUUUUUAAUUCAACCUUUAGCUGUGAACUUUCUUGGCUUCAACAAUGGCGAAUGAGGUAGUUCUCCUGGAUUUCUGGCCAAGCCCUUUUGGCAUGAGGGUCUGAAUCGCUUUCGCUGAGAAGGGCAUCCAAAUACGAGCUUAAGGAGGGAGACCUGGUUAAGAACAAGGCCCAUCUGCUGCUCUGCUUCCCUCUGAUCCUUACCAAAGAGCCCAAGCUAGGUUCUGGCUGAUUAUGCUGAAAAGAAGGUAAACACAGAUUUGUCGUUCACUACCAUGAUCUCAGACAAUUAGCUUUGGCUAUUUUUAACCUUACUUUGUACUGGGUUAUACAUAUGUGUGGGUGAGUGAAGGUAUAUGACACUGAGAGGAGAGUUUGGAGGGGUGAAGGAGAAGAACAGGAAAGUGGGAAAGAGAGAGAAAAACAGAGAGACCAGAAAUUAAUUAAUGGUUAGUAAUUUAAUUUCUUUCUUCACCAGCUCACCGUCAAUUGUGGCCCUCCACUUCACCUGCUCCUUACUUUUCCCUGUUUUAUUUCGUUUUUUCAAACCUCACUCUUCCUCUCUGGGAAACAGGAGGAAGAAUAGUCAAGACCUUAAACGAUACCGUUUUGCCUCUUGGAUUGUGAGUGGGCUUUUGGUAUUUCUGGGCUGAGAAUGUUUAUUUCGAGUUUAAAUGGGCACGUUUGUUUUGCUUUGGGCUGAGGCUUUUAAUCUACAAGUUCCUUGUCUUACUAAUAAUUCCAAUUCAAUUAAAACAAGUACAUCAAUCAAGUUAAAUUAUCAACUAAAGAUCACAUAAUUUUCUUAUUCGUCAAAACUAAUUCAAAUAUAUAUAUUUAUUAAUAUUACGCAGAAAUUUUUUUUUUUUUUUACUCGAAUUAUCUAAUUGGUUGGUCAUCCUAUUUCUUACAGGUGCAUUCAAAAAUUUGUCACAAAUAAUAUUUUCUAAAUUUAAAAUAAACUAAACUAGUAGGUUUAAGCACAAAAUAUAUAUUAUAGUAUAUAUUCAAGAACGUAAAUCAUAACGCAAUCUUGAUACCAUUUAAGGAGAGUUUAUCUGAAGGAGUAUCAUUGAUAGAAACCUGUUUCUGUGUAAAUUGAUUAUAACAAUUAGAUAAAAUAAUUUGUUUCUUUUCAACAACUUUCGUGUUUGUGUUUAUAUCUGUUGAUUUUGAGAUUAAAUAAGAUUUAAAUUUGUUGGAUUACUGCGUUGUUGUAACAAUAACCAGCUUCUUAAACGCACCACACCCACGUUUUGUUUUUAUAUAUUUAAUGGAAAAUUCAUUAUAUAACACGAGUGAUGAGAUGGUGAUCCUUCAUGCUCUCAUCAAGCUAAUUUAAUUAAACUUCAAAUUUAACUAAAUCCAACACUAGAAAAACAAAAUUCCUAGUAAUACAAAUUACUAUUAAUGAAUAUUUGAAGGCCCCACAUCAAUUAAACUAAUCUUAAUUCCAAUUACUUGUGAGUUGAAGUAAGUUGGAGAGAGUCUUUGAAUUUGAUGAAGAAAGUGAAGGAACAAUAUACUGAAUAUUGUAAUUUGUCAAACUUAUCGAUGAUGGUUUUGUUGUUGCAAAAACAUGAUCAUCGUCAAUUACAUCAGAGGAUCCAUUGUAUUAUUUUUGCAUUGAUAAGUUUAUGUUUUGAUUUAUUUGCAUUUGUGUACUAUUAUUUUCUUUUAAUCUCAAAGUCCUUAGUGAUAUAUGUUUGAUGAUGCAUAGAUAAAUACGAUCAUUUAAAGAAUAAAAACGGACUCUUAUAUUAUGUGUUGCGGUGAAUAUGAGAAAUGAAAUAUAUGUUGAAAUCAAGAUCACGAGUUUAGUAUUGGUAGAGUUUCAUUCUUGUCAACAUAAAUCGUUGUGUCGGUAAGAUAUUUGAGUGUCGUGAUCGAUAUUCUUCUUGAACAAGGGUUAUAACUCAAUUACAUUUGCUUGUUGAGAGCCAACAAUCCCAAAGAGAAAAUUUUAUUAGAAUGUUUAGUUAACUAUUGGAAUGAGAAUUCUGAAAAUAUUGAGAAAACAAANNNNNNNNNNNNNNNNNNNNNNNNNNNNNNNNNNNNNNNNNNNNNNNNNNNNNNNNNNNNNNNNNNNNNNNNNNNNNNNNNNNNNNNNNNNNNNNNNNNNNNNNNNNNNNNNNNNNNNNNNNNNNCACUUAAAUACUGGAGAAUCUUCUACGAGAGGUGACGUAAGCUAUUAUCUAAACAUCGAACGGCUUAGAACUUCCACUAUAAAUCUACGAAAAAAUUUUACUGACAAGCGAACGCCCGUUGGGCUAUAUUUAGCAGCACCUGGCACUGUAUGUUCAUCGUCACAAUCAACUAAAGAUUUGAUUUUUAAAGAGCUCUGUUUUUUAACAAUGGCGGAUGAGGUUGUUCUCUUGGAUUUCUGGUCAAGCCCUUUUGGAAUGAGAGUCAGAAUCGCUUUCGCCGAGAAGGGUAUUCACUGGGAGUACAAGGAAGAGGAUACGAGAAACAAAAGUCCCCUACUCCUGCAGAUGAACCCGGUUCACAAGAAAAUCCCGGUUCUCAUCCACAAUGGUAAACCCAUCUGUGAGUCUAUGAUCCAGAUUCAGUACAUAGAUGAGGUAUGGAGCGACAAGGGUCCUCCUUUGCUUCCC